CAGGUAGAGAAUACCAAGGCGCUUGAGAGAACUCGGGUGAAGGAACUAGGCAAAAUGGUGCCGUAACUUCGGGAGAAGGCACGCUGAUAUGUAGGUGAAGCGACUUGCUCGUGGAGCUGAAAUCAGUCGAAGAUACCAGCUGGCUGCAACUGUUUAUUAAAAACACAGCACUGUGCAAACACGAAAGUGGACGUAUACGGUGUGACGCC
rnacentral:rRNA from 1 species